AUCACCAUCAGCAUCAACUGCCCUGACCAUUUUCUGGCAAUCCACUAAGCUGCAUCGUUCACCAAGCCUCCUCAAGACUUCCAUAACUUCCUCAGCAGUUAUCUUACCGUCUCCAUUUAUGUCGAAUGCUUGAAAAGCACUCUGAAUGUCUGUCAUAUUAAUGCUUCCUCCUUUCUUCUGCGCUUCAACAAACUCUUUGAAGUCGAUAAAUCCAUCUCCAUCCAAAUCAACCACCUGGAAAAACUUUGGCACUUCUCCUAUCAUUUUUUCCUGUCCCAGAGCUCUUAGUAUGGCCUUGUACUCCUGCUGAGAAA
rnacentral:misc_RNA from 1 species